rnacentral:snRNA from 1 species
AACAGAGGGAUCUCUUGU